UACGUAGGGUGCGAGCGUUAAUCGGAAUUACUGGGCGUAAAGCGUGCGCAGGCGGUUUUGUAAGCCAGAUGUGAAAUCCCCGGGCUUAACCUGGGAACUGCAUUUGGGACUGCAAGGCUAGAGUGUGUCAGAGGGGGGUAGAAUUCCACGUGUAGCAGUGAAAUGCGUAGAGAUGUGGAGGAAUACCGAUGGCGAAGGCAGCCCCCUGGGAUAACACUGACGCUCAUGCACGAAAGCGUGGGGAGCAAACAGGAUUAGAAACCCUAGUAGU
rnacentral:rRNA from 1 species